CCCUUAGAUGUUCUGGGCCGCACGCGUGCUACACUGACCGGCGCAACAAGUUUCUUUCCUUGGCUCGAUAGGCCUGGGUAAUCUUUGAACGCCGGUCGUGAUGGGGAUAGAUCCUUGCAAUUUUUGAUCUUCAACGAGGAAUUCCUAGUAAAUGCGAGUCAUCAUCUCGCGUUGAUUACGUCCCUGCCCUUUGUACACACCGCCCGUCGCACCUACCGAUUGAAUGGUCCGGUGAAAAUUUCGGAUACCGGCAUUGCUGGCGGUUCGCCGCCGGCGACGCUGGUAGAAGAUCUUUAAACCUUAUCAUUUAGAGGAAGGAGAAGUCGUAACA
rnacentral:rRNA from 1 species